rnacentral:rRNA from 1 species
AUGAACGCUGGCGGCGUGCCUAAUACAUGCAAGUCGAGCGAACAGAUAAGGAGCUUGCUCCUUUGACGUUAGCGGCGGACGGGUGAGUAACACGUGGGUAACCUACCUAUAAGACUGGGAUAACUUCGGGAGACCGGAGCUAAUACCGGAUAACAUUUGGAACCGCAUGGUUCUAAAGUGAAAGAUGGUUUUGCUAUCACUUAUAGAUGGACCCGCGCCGUAUUAGCUAGUUGGUAAGGUAACGGCUUACCAAGGCAACGAUACGUAGCCGACCUGAGAGGGUGAUCGGCCACACUGGAACUGAGACACGGUCCAGACUCCUACGGGAGGCAGCAGUAGGGAAUCUUCCGCAAUGGGCGAAAGCCUGACGGAGCAACGCCGCGUGAGUGAUGAAGGGUUUCGGCUCGUAAAACUCUGUUAUUAGGGAAGAACAAAUGUGUAAGUAACUGUGCACGUCUUGACGGUACCUAAUCAGAAAGCCACGGCUAACUACGUG